GAUGAACGCUGGCGGCGUGCCUAAUACAUGCAAGUCGAGCGAACAGAUGAGGAGCUUGCUCCUCUGACGUUAGCGGCGGACGGGUGAGUAACACGUGGAUAACCUACCUAUAAGACUGGGAUAACUUCGGGAAACCGGAGCUAAUACCGGAUAAUAUAUUGAACCGCAUGGUUCAAUAGUGAAAGACGGUUUUGCUGUCACUUAUAGAUGGAUCCGCGCCGCAUUAGCUAGUUGGUAAGGUAACGGCUUACCAAGGCAACGAUGCGUAGCCGACCUGAGAGGGUGAUCGGCCACACUGGAACUGGGACACGGUCCAGACUCCUACGGGAGGCAGCAGUAGGGAAUCUUCCGCAAUGGGCGAAAGCCUGACGGAGCAACGCCGCGUGAGUGAUGAAGGUCUUCGGAUCGUAAAACUCUGUUAUUAGGGAAGAACAAAUGUGUAAGUAACUAUGCACGUCUUGACGGUACCGAAUCAGAAAGCCACGGCUAACUACGUG
rnacentral:rRNA from 1 species